rnacentral:rRNA from 1 species
AUGAACGCUGGCGGCGUGCCUAAUACAUGCAAGUCGAGCGAACAGACGAGGAGCUUGCUCCUCUGACGUUAGCGGCGGACGGGUGAGUAACACGUGGAUAACCUACCUAUAAGACUGGGAUAACUUCGGGAAACCGGAGCUAAUACCGGAUAAUAUAUUGAACCGCAUGGUUCAAUAGUGAAAGACGGUUUUGCUGUCACUUAUAGAUGGAUCCGCGCCGCAUUAGCUAGUUGGUAAGGUAACGGCUUACCAAGGCAACGAUGCGUAGCCGACCUGAGAGGGUGAUCGGCCACACUGGAACUGAGACACGGUCCAGACUCCUACGGGAGGCAGCAGUAGGGAAUCUUCCGCAAUGGGCGAAAGCCUGACGGAGCAACGCCGCGUGAGUGAUGAAGGUCUUCGGAUCGUAAAACUCUGUUAUUAGGGAAGAACAAAUGUGUAGGUAACUAUGCACGUCUUGACGGUACCUAAUCAGAAAGCCACGGCUAACUACGUG